GGCUUUAUAGUCAAGAAUGACAUUAGACUGCAAUUCUAAAGGAGUAUUAUGUAUUACUAAGGCUU
rnacentral:tRNA from 1 species